rnacentral:rRNA from 1 species
GACGAACGCUGGCGGCGUGCUUAACACAUGCAAGUCGAACGAUGAAGCGGGUGCUUGCACUCGUGGAUUAGUGGCGAACGGGCGAGUAACACGUGAGUAACCUGUCCUUUUCUUUGGGAUAACGGCUGGAAACGGCUGCUAAUACUGGAUAUUCAGGCUGCAUCGCAUGGUGUGGUUUGGAAAGGUUUUUUCUGGGAUUGGGUGGGCUCGCGGCCUAUCAGCUUGUUGGUGGGGUGAUGGCUUACCAAGGCUUUGACGGGUAGCCGGCCUGAGAGGGUGGUCGGUCGCACUGGGACUGAGAUACGGCCCAGACUCCUACGGGAGGCAGCAGUGGGGAAUAUUGCACAAUGGACGAAAGUUUGAUGCAGCGACGCCGCGUGGAGGGUGUAGGCCUUCGGGUUGUGAACUCCUUUUUCUCGCGAAAAAGGCACAGUUUUGGCUGUGUUGAUGGUAGUGGGGGAAGAAGCGCCGGCUAACUACGUG